GGGAGCCAGAGAAAUUUUCCAGUCUUAUGGAUUAAUCAACUUAUUCAUUCAUUUAUCCAUUCUUUCAUUCUUUUUAUUUUAUUUUUUAUUUUUAUGGGUACACAGUAGGUGUAUAUAUUUAUGGAACAUGAGAUGUUUUCAUACAGGCAUACAAUGCAUAAUAAUCACAUCAUGGAAGAUGGGGUAUUCAUCCCCUCAAGCAUUUUUGCUUUGUGUUACAAAAAAUUCAACUAUGCUCAUUUAGUUAUUUUUAAACGUAGCAUUAAAUUAUUAUUGACUAUAGUCACCCUGUUGUGCUAUCAAAUACUAGAUCUUAUUCAUUUAUUCUAACUAUUUCUUGGUACCAGUUAACCACCCCCACUUCUCCCUCAACCCCCCACUACCUUUCGCAUCCUCUGGUAAUGACCUGUCUACUCUCUUACUCUCUAUCUCCAUGGGUUCAAUUGUUUUGAUUUUUCGAUCCCACAAGUAAGUGGAAACGUGAUGUUUGUCUUUCUGUACCUGGCUUAUUUCACUUAACAUAAUGACAUCCAAUUACAUCCAUGUGGUUGCAAAUGACUGAAUCUUGUUCUUUUUAUGGCUGAAUUGUAUUUCAUUGUGUAUAAGUACCACAUUUUCUUUACCAUUCAUCUGUUGAAGGACAUGCAGUUUGCUUCCACAUCAUAGCUGUUGUAAACAGAGCUGCAACAGCUAAUUUCCUUUCUUUGGGGUAUAUACCCUGCAGUGGGAUGGCUGGCUCAUAUGGUAGCUCUAUUUUUAGGUUUUCUGACAAACCUCCAAACUGUUCUCCGUAGUGCUUGUAUUAAUUUAUUAAUUUACAUUACCACCAACAGUGUACGAGGGUUCUCUUUUGCUUGUGGCUGAGUUGACACUCGAACUACAAGACCCAGUCCUUCUCACUCUUCCCUCCCCUUUCCAAAGGCAGAGGAGCCUCACCCAGUGGAUAUCACUACCUCAGACCCCUGGGGACUGCUACUAGACUACCUCUGAUGUUCCCUUAAGGCUUAAAGGCUCUUCAGUCAGCUUGUAGUGAAUAUUACCUGGCUAGGACUCACCCUUCAGGGGAGUGAGCUCCUCUCUGGCAAUGGGAAGUACCAGAAAUGUCAUCCACAAGUCAAGUCCUGCAACUGGGGUCCCUAAGAGCCCACUUGGUACUCUAUUCCAUUGUGGCUGAGCUGAUACUUAAAGUGAAAAGCAAAGUUUCCUUUACUUUUCUGUUCACUUUUCUCAAGCAGGAGUCUCACCCUAAUCAGCUACAACAAUUGGAAAUGUGCCGAGUCUCUCCUAAGUCCAGCCAGUCUCAGCAUCUCACCUAAGACCUUUGAUGUAGUACCUGGAUAUCCCUGUUGGUUAUUCACAGCUCAGGGUCCCUUCAGGCAGCAAGUGAUGAAUCCUUCCAGGAAUGAGUCCUUCUCUUCAAGGCAAUGAAUUCCCUUCUUGCCUAGGGUGUGUCCAGAAAUGUCCAGGAGCUAGGGCCUGAAAUGAGGGUCUCACAACUCUGACCGGUGCUCUAUUCUGCUGUGGCUGAGCUGGUAUCCAAGAUGCAAGACAAAGUCUUCCCCACUAUUCCAUCUCCUCUCCUCAAGCAGAAGGAAGGAGUCUCUUUUACAGCCAGGAUUUUUGCAGCCUGGGCUUCGGGGAUGGGUGAGGCCAGCACUCCCUUAGCUGCCCCAGCUGGUGUCGCAGUAGGUCGCAUGCAACCACAGUCUACUGUCUCUUGGUCCAGUUCAGCCUAUGACUCACCUUGGUGUUGCAGUCCUUGAGGCCUAAAUUGCGUUUCAAAUUUAUUUGAAGCCCCAAAGCACUUUUGCCCACAGUGGUGAGGCUUGUAGGAACUCAAGUUCCAACCGCUGGGAUCAGCAAUUCCCCUCUGGCUCCGGCUGGUUUAAAUGCUGUCUUUGCGGGAGGGUGCCAGCUGAGUUUGGUCCGGCUCUGCUUUCAGCUAUAACAAGGGCAGCACUGAGUUCAAUGCCUCACAGUUGCUGGCUCUCCCUCUCCCCAGGGUGCAGAAAAGCUCUCUGCACCACAUUGCCACUGCCAAGGAAGGGGGGAGGGAUGGCAUAGGCAAUUCAAGUCUGUUUUUUCUACUUCUUCGGUGCCUCUUUCAGCGAUAUGAAUUUAAAACCAGAUAUUUAUCAAAUGCUGAUUAUAUGACAAGACCUACACUGGAUCCUUGGGAUACAACCAUAAGAUAAUUGUGACAGUCCCAAUCCUUACAAAGACAGGCAAAAAGUUCAUAGACCAUCAUUUGUCUAUGGACCACACUUUGAACACAACUGCUCUGGACAAGCAGGCCUUGGAUUUCUACGUGUUUGUGUCUUAGAUCUGUUAAACUCAGCUGACCCACCACACCCAAGCAGAACUUCAAAAGAAGCUGUGAAAAGCGUGCUUGUUCUAGCUGGAAGAUCAUCCUGAGUCCCUCCCUGUUUAUUCUUGAAAUGUUUGGGCCUCCUUUCAUCUCCAGUUCUCAGAUUUGGGCACAAUAACCGAGCUCUGAUGUCUACAUCUAACCCUGUGGAUCCCAGGCUGUCAAUGAAAUGUUUAUUUCAUGCGGAUUCCGUGGCUCUGCUGACUCAGCUUAUUUUGCAGUCUCUAUUACCCUAUUGCGAAAUCUCCCUGUCUAUGACUAGCCUCGAAAUCCCAAUUUCCAGAGGACAAGGAUCUGGACAUCCACUGCCCCUCUUCUUGCAGCACAGCCAGCCCUGGAAGGACCCUCUAACUUUAGCUACACUUGAAACAGAAAUUUUACAUGACUCACCAUAUGAUAGCAUUGAUGCUCUCCUGUAAUUCAAAUUCAACCUUCGUGUUUCACUUUCAAACCUGCUUCAUCAAAGUGACAUAUUCAAUAGAACAGAAGAGUGGCCUUUUCUGAGAUUUUUAUUAGGGGAAAAGGAUGUACAGUGAAUUACACCUCACACCUCACACCUCAAAGAAAACUUCCAAAAUAUGUUUUUUACCUAUCUUCUUUCCCCAGAUUCCCACAUCAUACAACAGUAGCUUUAUCUCUGUCUCUUUCUCUCUCUCUCUCUGUCUUUCUCUCUCUCUGAAUCGCUAGCUUAUUGUUGCUCUCUAAGUUCCAUGAAGCUGUAAAAAAAAAAAGAAUAAGAUACUUAUGAACUAAUGUGCAGCAAUUUCCCAGACAUAUUGUUAAAUGACCAAAAGCACGGUGCAGAAGAAUACAUAUAGUAUGCCACCUUUUGUGUAAAAAAGAUUAGGAAGUAAGAAAUCAGGCAUAUCUUUACAAAAAGAAAGAGGAAAAGUGAAAACUAUGAAGUUUUCAGGGGAAGCGUAUGGAACAUAUAUGCAAAGUGUGACACUUCCCUGACAAUUCCUGUUUUUACGGUUUGACAUGAAGUUAUCUUAAUAUUCUACAUACUGAAAGAAUAAACAUAAUUUGAAAAAGGAUAAGAAAGGAAAGAAAAUGAAAGCAAACGCAAACAUGAACCCAAUGUUAUUUCUAAAGAAAAAUGUAGCAUAUUACAGGGACGGUGUGGCAAUGAAAGGACAACCCUGAGUAGCUUAUGAUCACAGUAUUUGACUAUAAACCCUUAGCUUUGGGCAAGUUACAUGUACAGGGUAGAGAACACCAGACAAAUCCUGAAGGGUUUCAGAGGUAUGGGCAAAGCAAUUCUGAAAUUAUUUUAGAUCUAUUAUAAGAGUAAACAAAUUAGUAAAUGUAUCGAAGUUGUUGGGAGCUACUUGUUUUCUUGCUGUGGAAAAGGGGGCUAAUAAACAUGAAACAGAGAAAGCAAGCACUUAGUGAGGCUGGAUCAGAAUCAGUGGUAUCAGCAUGGACUCAAGAUUUCUAAAUAGAUACAUAUAUACACACACACACGUAUACAUUUAUAUGCAUGUAUAUAUGUGUACAUGUAUAUGUAUCUAAUUUAUGUGUAUAUAAAAAUACAUGUAGUAAGUAUAUAUUUAGGUGUUUAUAUGUCUAUAUACCUGUAUAUAUUUCUUAUCUCAGACCACAAAAAGACCUAGAGGCAGAAAUACCACAGUAGCAUUGAACACACUUGGUGCCCAGAUUUUAGCCCCUAAUAUCAGUCCCCACUAAAGAGAACAAGGGGUCUCGUUUUCUUGCUGCUGGUAUUCACUCAACUGCUCAAACUAAAACUUUGUCAUUCGUUUUUAAAAAUUAAUAUUACUAUUAAUCUUUAAAGAUUACUAAGUGUUCUCCAAAUUAUUUUGCAUGGUAUACAAGGACCCUCAAACUUUUAAACUUUUAAAUCAAAUUAAAUUUCUAGAGUACUUUAGCAAACGACUUGCUAAAAUCUCUAAAGAGCCCUAUUUUAUAAUUCAAACAGGAAUAAGCUGUUAAUUUGGGCUUAUUGGGUUUUACAAUACCAAAAAUGUCAAUAUGCUUAGCGACAGACUACUCUAUUAUAUCUAUGUCAUUGAAGAAACUAUUUAGGAAAUGAUUUUAACUUGCAAAUCGAGUAGUCUUUAUGAAAAAAAUACAUCUCUUUUGCUUCAGUUGGCUUUUUCUAGAUGAGGUAGAAGUUAUUGAGGAAGAUCUCUAAGCUAUAGGUUAAUUCCAAGGUUUAUCAUUAAUGCUUAUGCUGACCUUUUUGAGAAUAACUAAGUGAAUUUUUUUAAAAUCCGAGAAAGUUGACCAUAAAAGGAUUCCAGGUAUAAACAUUUUUCCAUUCCAGGUGACCUCCUGUUUUUCAUUCUAUUUCAUUUGAUUUAACUUUUUGGCACAAAACUUACAGGUUCUUUGUCAACAAUACUUAACAGACUCAGUAAAUUAGUAGAUUUUGAAGAGUGGUUUAAUCAUAAAGGAAAGAAAGUACAUGGUCCUAACAUCCUCUCUUGUAAUGGGGUAGGAUCAUGGAUUUCUUCUUGGGAAUCAGGCAGGAGCACUGCAAACUCCCAUGGACUAGCAAGUGACUCACCCUAAGGUCACUGAAGAAAGGAGUGGCCAAGGUCCAAGGGUGGGAAAAAAACCUUCUAAUUAAUUAAACUUAUACUUGACCUAGUGUGACUAGCAUUGGAGCAUUACCUGCUUCAGCGGUUUUACAAGGCUGUUGGGAAGAUGGGGCUGUUUUGUUUUUUAUUUUGUUUUGUUUGUUUACAACAGUGCCCCCCAAAGUGCCUCUUUAUUCCUAAGGACUUUAAUCACAAUUUGAAAACCACUCAUCUAUUCAGCCUCUUGGUUUUAUUUAUUGGGAACUAAGAACCAGAUACUGUGGACUUCCAGUAUGAGACAAAGGUGUUAUUUAAGCAAGUAAUGAAACAAAAAUACUUGUUGAAUACUCUCUUUCAACACUUCAAAGAAGCCAGGAAGGGAGAAGAAAGAGUUUUGGAGGGGAAUCACCACCACACCUCUCUGCUGAGUGGGUUGGGGCAUUCAACUCUAAAGCAGAGGCAAAGGAGCCCCGGGCAAGCCUGGCCAUCCCCCUAGGCUCGAUUUGCACCCAUAGGAGACUUUAGCCAUAGGGGAACUGUCAGUUCUGAAUUCUGUAGGGUGGUCUUGUCCAUCAGAUGGGACCAGUACAACCUGAGCACCCCUUGGUCUGCUAGACUCUCCUGGGGCCACAGCCUGGCCACACAUAGUUGCAGGGCAGCCUUUGGUGCCCUGAGGGCCCACACCAUAGCUUUUGCAAUGGUGGAUCACGCCUGACAGAUGGAGAGCUCCAGUGGGCAGUGCCUAUGGACACACACCAGUCCACACAUUCCCUUCCAAUACUGCGGCUUCCUCUGGGCCCCUGGCAACUCCUCACAUUGUUUUGCUGGCAUGUGGCUGCACAGGGCAGGUUUUGCUUUUGUUGCCUCACCAGCAUGCAGGAGUGCAGUCAGCCCCUCUGCCGCCUGCUGAUUGCUAUUGCAGAUGGAGCAUUGAUGGGCACAGAGCAAACCAGCCCUCCCCCUGCAAGCACCCUGCCUUAUGCAAACACUAUACAGAGAAAAGUGGAUCCACCCCUGCCCUGAGGGACCACUCCUGCUUGUAGGGCACAAAGAAGGCACCCAGACCAGUGCCUGCCAACAUCUUGCUCCCAAGCCAACACCACCUUGAGUGCGACUGCACAGUCGCAGGCAACACACACCCCUCUAGCUGCAUUGCCUCCACCACUGCGAUGAAUGCUCACAGGGAGGCAGGACCCCCAGCACCCACUAGCACUCUGCCACAGCUGCUGCUACCAAUGCUGCUGAAAUGCAGACAAGAAGGAUCCCACUGUCACUACACCACGAAACAUUUUGGCUGACAUCACCCAUCAGAGUGCAGUAAACAGUGGUCCAGGAGCACCUCAGUGCCCCCAGGAUAGCAGAUUCCUAAUCUCAAGGAGACAGAGAACAAAGUGGGGCCCAACACAAGUCCUCCAAAGUUAGAGAACUAAGCCCAGGAGUUGAGAGCUGAGGACCAAAUCUCUAAAAUCUUCCAGAAAUGAAGCCAGUUAGCUGACUGCACCUUAUACCACAAUCAAAUCCUCAAGGUCAUUAAAUAGGAUAAAAGAAAAAACACUCAUCCAAAGGUAAGCAUCCUCAAAGACUGAAGGAAGAUAAGCCCAGAAGAUGAGAAACAAUCAGUACAAGAACCCUGAUAACGCACAAAGCCAGAGUACCUUUUUACCUCCAAAAACACACAUCACCUCUCCAGCAAGGUUCUGAACUGGCUGAGAUGGCUGAAAUGACAGAAAUGUAAUUCAGAAUAUGGAUAGAAAUGAUUGAGCUAUAGGAAUAAGGUGAAAUCUAAUGCAAGGAAGCUAAAAAAUCAUAAACAAUGCAGGAACUUACAGACAAAAUAGUCAGUAUAGAAAAGAACCUAACCAACCUAAUAGAGCUAAAAAAUACACUGCAAGAAAUUUUACAAUGCAACCACAACUAUUAGUAGCAGAUUAGGCCAAGUGGAGGAAAGAAUCUCAGAGCUUGAAGACUGUCUUUCUGAAAUAAGACUGUAAUAAAGAAAUAGAGAAAAAAGAAUAAAAAGAAAUAAACAAAAUCCCUGAGAGAUGUGGGAUUACAUAAAGAAGAAAUCUAUGACUCCUGGGUGUCCCUAAAAGAGAUGGGGAGAAGGGAACUAUAUAAUCUAUUCUCAUGCUGCAAAUAAAACAUGUCUGAGACUGGGUAAUUUAUAAAGGGAAGAGGUUUAAUGGACUCACAGUUCAGCAUGACUGGGAGGAUUCACAAUCAUGGUAGAAGGUAAAGGAAAAGCAAAGGGAAGUCUUA
rnacentral:lncRNA from 1 species